CCCCAGGCCCGGACGCCCCCCUCGCCCCUCCCCAGGCCCAGACGCCCCCCUCGCCUCUCCCCAGGCCCGGGCGCCCCCCUCGCCCCUCCCCAGACCCGGGCGCCCCCCUCGCCUCUCCCCAGGCCCGGACGCCCCCUCGCCUCUCCCCAGGCCCGGGCGCCCCCCUCGCCUCUCCCCAGGCCCGGGUGCCGCCGCCCCGGUGAUGGAUGGCGGGGCCCGCGGGAGGCGGUCGCCGUGGCAACCGCGCCGUCCCCAUGGCAACGCUGAGGCCCGGCGCGCGGGGGUGGGGCCGGCGCAGCAUCUCCCGCCCCCGGCCCGUGCUGGGGGGGUUGAGGGGGCCGAGGCUUCGGGCCUGGGGCGGCCUAGACCGGCGGGAGGGGUCGGGAAUUUCUUCCCCGCGCUGCGGCUGGGGGAGGGGAGGGGGGUCCCGUCUGGGCGUCCGCCCAGGAAGGGGCUUCCAUCCGGGAGGGGUGUGGACCCGCCCCCGACGCCGGGUAGCCAAGGUCAGGCCGACAGAACGCUCCACGUCACAGAUCGGAAAAAAUCAAGCGAAAUAUGACCACGACGCACGGAUCAAAACCGCCACAAACCGAGAAGGCCUCCCCCAGCGCUCACUCCCUCCUGCAGCUGGCUCCCAGCUUCCCCUUUCCCUUCUCCACCGCCAAGAUCAGCUCCAGCACAGCCACCUCCUCCAGGCAGCCUUCCAGGAAGGAACCUCCUCCCAGCCCUCCCAGGAUGCAGCACGGAGGCCCCCAGCGCCACCCCAGUCUCUGGGGCACCAAGAACCCUAAAUGGGUUAAGGCAGAGAGGCAUCACCCCGGGGGAGAGGAGAAGACGGAGGUCAAAGCAGGCCACAGAUGCAGAGAACCAAACCUGUUGCCUAUUAACCGGGGUGGGAAGGGACCCUGCUCGGGGCCCUCACGGGAAGACCGCGCAGUGAGGCGUGAAUGGGGCCUUCCCUGGCUUUCAGCAGGGUCUCAGGGCAAACCCUGCUGCAGAGGCCCCAUGGUCCCUCCCCACGCGACUGCACUCCAGCCACACUCCUGAGACGUCCCACAGAGCUCCCACCGAAGGGCCGUUUUGCUGGCUGCACUGCUGCCUGGUGCACGGUCACCCAGACCUCCCCGGGCCUCAGGCCCAAGGCCUUUCUGCAGACGUCACCUCCUCAUUUAGGCCUCGUCUGGCCUAAUUUUCAGCCCCAGGCACCCCUGCAGCCGUCUAAACCCGGAUCACUUUACUUAUCUUUUUUUUUUUUUCUUUUUGAGAUGGAGUCUCCCUCUGUUGCCCAGGCUGGAAUGCGGCGGCACGAUCUCAGCUCACUGCAACCUCUGCCUCCUGGGUUCAAGUGAUUCUCCUGCCUCAGCCUCCUGAGUAGCUGGGAUUACAGGCACCUGCCACCACGCCCAGCUAAUUUUUGUAUUUUCAGUAGAGAUGGGUUUCACCAUGUUGGCCAGGCUGGUCUCAAACUCCUGACCUCAGGUGAUUCGCCCGCCUCAGCUUCCCAAAGUGCUGGGUUUACAGGUGUGAUCUUGUCUUCUCACCAGGACAGCAACUGUGUCAUUUUUGUCCCUGCCACCAGGCAUACAGCAGGUGCUCAAUAAAUGCUUACUGCCCCAGGGAGUCAAUUAGGGUCUUUCCAUCUUCAGAGGAAGCGCCCACCCAGAGGUCCCCCCAACCCCAGCCCCCUCUUCUCACACUCCCGCCACUCCCAGGGCCACCUGUCAUCUGAUCACUGCCUCUUCUUUUUAAAGAAACUCACUGUCACGACUUACAUUUAUGUAAAGCAGGACCCAGACUCCUCAGUGUGAACAGAGCACAAGCUCCAACCAUCUCGGGGGGGAACUACAGAUUCAUAGAUCAACCAACCCGGGUGUCCAUCUACAGAUGCGUGGGUAAACGCAAUGUGGCCGUCCACGCACUGGAACACGACUCAGCCGUGAACAGGAGCGAGGCUCUGACCCAGGCCACGGCGCGGAUGCACCUUGAGCACAUCAUGCUCAGUAAGAGACGCCAGACACAGAAGGCCACGCAGCGUGUGAUGCCAUCUCUAAGAAAUAUCCAGGACCUGCCGAUCCAGAGACAGGAAAGGGAUUGGCUCCGCAAGCGCUAGGGGAGGGGAGGGGACGCCUAAUGGGGACAGGGCUUGUUUUGGGGUGAUGAAAAUGUUCUAAAAUUGUGGUGAAAGAUACACAACUCUGCUGGGCGCAGUGGCUCACACCUGUAAUCCCAGCACUUUGGGAGGCCGAUGCAGGUGGAUCACAAGGUCAAGAGAUCGAGACCAUCCUGGCCAGUAUGGUGAAACCCCGUCUCUACUAAAAAUACAAAAAUUAGCCGGGCGUGGUGGCGGGCGCCUGUAAUCCCAGCUACUUGGGAGGCUGAGGCAGGAGAAUCACUUGAACCCGGGAGGCGGAGGUUGCAGUGAGCCGGGAUUACGUCACUGCAUGCCAGCCUAUGUGACAGAGAGAUUCCGUCUCAAAAAAAAAAAAAAAAGUACACCCUGUCAGUGUACUAAAAACGACUGAGCUAUACACUUUAAGCAGCCAGACUGUGUAGCGUGUGAAAUGUAUUUUAAUAAAGCUGUUAAGAAUGAUAUACAUACAGACGUGUGUAUACAUACCUGUGUACGUGUGUGUAUACGUGCGUGUGUAAUGGGAAUGCCAGCCUUCUCAACAAGGGCCAGGCCAGGGACUGAGAUCCUUCCCAGCCCCCAUGGGGUGCUGAAGCCCCUGCUGGCCCUGCCCUGAGACUUUCCAUGGCCGGAAGCGUUUGAAUACAAACUGAUGAGGACAUCAGCUUCUCGCUGCCUGACGGGGGUUACUGAAGCACCCCAGGCCUCUGUCCCUCCCCGGCCUUCAGGGUCCCACAUCACUGCCGCCAUUGCCCACAGCCUCUGCCCACCCAGGAGGGGCUCCCAGGCCUGGCCCCGUCCCACCACCAGUCUGUUGACCAUGCAGCGCCUUCCACUCAGCUGGCCUCACUCUGGUCCUAAUCUAAGUUUUUUUUUUUUUUCUUUUUUUUUUUGAGAGAGAGAGUCUCGCUCUGUCACUCAGGCUGGAGUGCGGUGGCGCAAUCUCGGCUCACUGCAACCUCCUCCUCCUGGGUUCAAGCGAUUCUCUUGCCUCAGCCUCCCGAGUAGCUGGGAUUACAGGAACCUGCCACCAUGCCCGGCUAAUUUUUGUAUUUUUGGUAGAGACGGGGUUUCACCAUGUUGGCCAGGCUGGUCUCCAACUCCCAACCUCAGGUGAUCCACCUGCCUCGGCCUCCCAAAGUGCUGGGAUUACAGGCGUGAGCCACCGUGCCCGGCCCUAAUCUAAGUCUUGCCCAUCCCAAGGCCUGGCUCCUCUGGUUGGCUCCCCUUCCCUCUUCCCACCCAGUCCAGGCUCUGUCCUGGUGACUGGCUCUGACUGUCCCUGAAUUUCUGCUUGAAACCCUGGGGCAGGAGACAGCCACUCUGGCCUGAUUUUACACUCCUUAGACACCAAGACGUCCAUACAGCCAUCCUCCCAGAGGACGCCCUCCACCCCUUCAUGUAUCCAGGGACCAGGCCACUUCUCCCCGGCCAGGGUGCCCCGUCCCUGUGGGCAUCACUGACCACACACAGUUCUGGAAUCCUGUGUUUGCCCUCCUAGACAUGGGGUCCUGCCCCCUCUGGCUCUGCCGUUUCUCUCCAUGCGGCCCCCGUGGCCACCAUCAAGGCCUGGCCAUGACUUACUCCUCCCUGGUCUCACCCUCAGCUGCCAGAGCCUCUUUUUUGAUGACCAGGUCAGCCACUGCUCCUCCCUUGCUCACACACUAUCCAUGACUCCCCAUCCUGGCACUCAAGGCCCAGCAGGAACAAACACCAAAGAACAUUCUCUUCUUCCGACACUUUCCCACCUCUAGCCCUUUGCACAUGCCAGUCCCUCCACAAGGUGCAUCCUUCUGCCUGCCUGGAUGAACCCUGAAACAUCUUUCUCAGAAAAGGUUCAUGGAUGGACUGGAUCAGGAAGCCUUUCUCACACCUCAGCGAAGACCCUGCAUGGCCUUCCAGACCCUUCUGAUCCUGCACAGCACGAGGAUGGUGAGGAGGAAGCAUUUGUUCAAUAAACAAAUGACGGGUUUCCUAGAUCAAGAAAGGACGAGAGGAAACGGGCCUACACUCAGAAAAAGGUGAUAUAAUGCUUUUUCUUUGAGAUAGUCUCGCUCUGUUGCCCAGGCUGGAGUGCAGUGGUGCAAUCUCGGCUCACUGCAAGCUCCGCCUCCCAGGUUCAAGUGAUUCUCCUGCCUCAGCCUCCUGAGUAGCUGGGAUUACAGGCGCCCACCA